rnacentral:rRNA from 1 species
UACAGAGGGUGCAAGCGUUGUUCGGAAUUAUUGGGCGUAAAGCGCGUGUAGGCGGCUUGGCAAGUCGGGUGUGAAAGCCCUCAGCUCAACUGAGGAAGUGCGCCCGAAACUGCUUUGCUUGAGUGCUGGAGAGGGCCGCGGAAUUCCCCAAGUAGAGGUGAAAUUCGUAGAUAUGGGGAGGAACACCGGUGGCGAAGGCGGCGACCUGGACAGUAACUGACGCUGAGACGCGAAAGCGUGGGUAGCAAACAGG